rnacentral:rRNA from 1 species
CCUACGGGGUGCAGCAGUGGGGAAUAUUGCACAAUGGGGGAAACCCUGAUGCAGCGACGCCGCGUGAGUGAAGAAGUAAUUCGUUACGUAAAGCUCUAUCAGCAGGGAAGAAAUACUGACCUUACGGUCAGCAGACGGUACCUGAGUAAGAAGCCCCGGCUAACUACGUGCCAGCAGCCGCGGUAAUACGUAGGGGGCAAGCGUUAUCCGGAUUUACUGGGUGUAAAGGGAGCGUAGAAGGUGCGCCAAGUCUGGAGUGAAAUGCCGCAGCUUAACUGCGGAACUGCUUUGGAAACUGGCGAACUAGAGUGCGGGAGGGGUAAGCGGAAUUCCUAGUGUAGCGGUGAAAUGCGUAGAUAUUAGGAGGAACACCGGUGGCGAAGGUUGCUUACUGGACCGUAACUGACGUUGAGGCUCGAAAGCGUGGGGAGCAAACAGGAUUAGAUACCCCUGUAGUC